rnacentral:tRNA from 1 species
GGUAGCGUGGCCGAGCGGUCUAAGGCGCUGGUUUUAGGCACCUGUCAUUUCGAUGGCGUGGGUUCGAAUCCCACCGCUGCCA